UAAGGCUAAAUAUAACCACGAGACCGAUAGCGAACAAGUACCGUGAGGGAAAGUUGAAAAGAACUUUGGAGAGAGAGUUCAAGAGUACGUGAAACCGUUCAGGGGUAAACCUGAAAAACCCAAAAGAUCGAAUGGGGAGAUUCGUUAGCGGAGUCAGCUUCCGUGUGGCUCGCGAUGUCCGGGGCUUCGAUCCCGCGGCACGCAGUCGCUGCGGCAUGUCUGGCCUCGUCGGCGUGCACUUCUCCCCUAGUAGGACGUCGCGACCCGUUGGGUGUCGAGCGUUCGCGUGCUUCACUCGGCAGAACAUCGGUCGCCCGGCCGUCUGCCUGGAGGUAUAGAACGCAUAAUCCAUGGUAUUGGGCCGCACACUCGUGUGCGUCCUGGCCUGUUGGCAGGCUCGCCUCGCUCGGAUUUACGGAUCUAGCGCCGUUGCCGCGUGCUUGGCGUGGUUGUUAGUCGACGAUGUCCUCGGACCGGUUCUCUCAAAUUUGAGUACCAGUCGGCGACGCUACUGCUUUG
rnacentral:rRNA from 1 species